rnacentral:rRNA from 1 species
UACAGAGGGGGCAAGCGUUGUUCGGAAUUACUGGGCGUAAAGCGUGCGCAGGCGGUUCGUUGUGUCCGAUGUGAAAGCCCCGAGCUUAACUUGGGAAUGGCAUUGGAAACUGGCGGGCUGGAGUGUGGCAGAGGGGGGUGGAAUUCCACGUGUAGCAGUGAAAUGCGUAGAGAUGUGGAGGAACACCGAUGGCGAAGGCAGCCCCCUGGGCCAACACUGACGCUCAGGCACGAAAGCGUGGGGAGCAAACAGG